ACAUCGGUGGUUCAGUGGUAGAAUUCUUGCCUCCCGUGCAGGAGACCCAGUUUUAAUUCCCAGCCAAUGCA
rnacentral:tRNA from 1 species